rnacentral:rRNA from 1 species
UACGUAGGGUGCGAGCGUUAAUCGGAAUUACUGGGCGUAAAGCGUGCGCAGGCGGUUCGUCGUGUCCGAUGUGAAAGCCCCGGGCUCAACCUGGGAAUGGCAUUGGAAACUGGCGGGCUCGAGUGUGGCAGAGGGGGGUGGAAUUCCGCGUGUAGCAGUGAAAUGCGUAGAGAUGCGGAGGAACACCGAUGGCGAAGGCAGCCCCCUGGGCUGACACUGACGCUCAGGCACGAAAGCGUGGGGAGCAAACAGG